CAUCCCGCGUGAAGGAUGACGGUCCUAUGGAUUGUAAACUUCUUUUGUAUAGGGAUAAACCUAGAUACGUGUAUCUAGCUGAAGGUACUAUACGAAUAAGCACCGGCUAACUCCGUGCCAGCAGCCGCGGUAAUACGGAGGGUGCAAGCGUUAUCCGGAUUUAUUGGGUUUAAAGGGUCCGUAGGCGGGCCGAUAAGUCAGUGGUGAAAUCUCAUAGCUUAACUAUGAAACUGCCAUUGAUACUGUCGGUCUUGAGUAAAUUAGAGGUAGCUGGAAUAAGUAGUGUAGCGGUGAAAUGCAUAGAUAUUACUUAGAACACCAAUUGCGAAGCAGGUUACCAUGAUUUAACUGACGCUGAGGGACGAAAGCGUGGGGAGCGACAGGAUUAGAUACCUGGUAGUCCACGCCGUAAACGAUGCUACUCGUUUUUGGGGCGCAAGCUUCAGANACCAGCGAAAGUGAUAAGU
rnacentral:rRNA from 1 species